rnacentral:rRNA from 1 species
AGUGAACGCUGGCGGUAGGCCUAACGCAUGCAAGUCGAACGGCAGCACAGUAAGAGCUUGCUCUUACGGGUGGCGAGUGGCGGACGGGUGAGGAAUACAUCGGAAUCUACUUUUUCGUGGGGGAUAACGUAGGGAAACUUACGCUAAUACCGCAUACGACCUACGGGUGAAAGCAGGGGAUCUUCGCACCUUGCGCGGUUGAAUGAGCCGAUGUCGGAUUAGCUAGUUGGCGGGGUAAAGGCCCACCAAGGCGACGAUCCGUAGCUGGUCUGAGAGGAUGAUAAGCCACACUGGAACUGAGACACGGUCCAGACUCCUACGGGAGGGAGCAGUGGGGAAUAUUGGACAAUGGGCGCAAGCCUGAUCCAGCCAUACCGCGUGGGUGAAGAAGGCCUUCGGGUUGGAAAGCCCUUUUGUUGGGAAAGAAAAGCAGCAGGUUAAUACCCCGCGGGUGUGACGGUACCCAAUGAAGAAGCACCGGCUAACUUCGUG